UACGUAGGGGGCUAGCGUUGUCCGGAAUCAUUGGGCGUAAAGCGCGCGUAGGCGGUCCGAUAAGUCUGCUGUGAAAGUCCAGGGCUCAACCCUGGAAUGCCGGUGGAUACUGUCGGGCUAGAGUUCGGAAGAGGCGAGUGGAAUUCCUGGUGUAGCGGUGGAAUGCGCAGAUAUCAGGAGGAACACCUAUAGCGAAGGCAGCUUGCUGGGACGACACUGACGCUGAGGCGCGAAAGCGUGGGGAGCGAACAGG
rnacentral:rRNA from 1 species